rnacentral:rRNA from 1 species
AGUGAACGCUGGCGGCAGGCCUAACACAUGCAAGUCGAACGGCAGCACAAGAGAGCUUGCUCUCUGGGUGGCGAGUGGCGGACGGGUGGGGAAUGCAUCGGAAUCUGCCCAUUUGUGGGGGAUAACCUCGGGAAACCGGGACUAAUACCGCAUACGACCUACGGGUGAAAGCAGGGGAUCUUCGGACCUUGCGCAGAUGGAUGAGCCGAUGACGGAUUAGCUAGUUGGAGGGGUAAAGGCCCACCAAGGCGACGAUCCGUAGCUGGUCUGAGAGGAUGAUCCGCCACACUGGAACUGAGACAGGGCCCAGACUCGUACGAGAGGCAGCAGUGGGGAAUAUUGGACAAUGGGCGCAAGCCUUAUCCAGCCAUGCCGCGUGUGUGAAGAAGGCCUUCGGGUUGUAAAGCACUUUUGUUGGGAAAGAAAAGCAGCCGGUUAAUAACCGGUUGUCAUGACGAUACCCAAAGAAUAAGCACCGGCUAACUUCGUG